GGGGGUGUAGCUCAGUGUGGAGCAUUUGUCUGGCAUGCAUGAGGACCUGGGUUUGAUUCCCAGCACCACAC
rnacentral:tRNA from 1 species